rnacentral:lncRNA from 1 species
AAAAAAAAUUUCUAGCUUCAGAACAUAUGUUACUCUUUCUUUUGUGUUCAAAUGACCUAUGUUUUCAUAUUCUGGCUUCCAAAUCAAACACAAAGUUCACGAAUAAUACCUUUUAAGUUUUAACAAUAAUUCUGAUUGCUUCAGCCCAUCUGUUAAUUUAGCUUUUCUUUCUCCAAAUUCAGCUCCACCCUGUGAAAAAACAGAGCUACUAUGAAAACCAGUUGACUAGUAUUAUAAAUAAUUGAGGUGUAGUUUUUAUUACUAGCCAAACAUCAAGAUCAAAGAAAACCUGGUUCUCCAGUUCACUACUAUGGCUUCUACUUGGUGGACAAUGCACAAUAAUAACAAAUAGGAUUGAUUACCUACAGUUGGUUGCUUAUAAUUUGUGAAAAUGCCCAAUUUAAAGA